GUGACUCUGGAAAGCAGACGGCAUGUGCUGUCUCACCGAAGGAGAAAGCUAGCUUUAUUUAGCGAGUGAAUCUCUCAGGUAACCCGACAGAGGGGG
rnacentral:ncRNA from 1 species